rnacentral:rRNA from 1 species
UACAGAGGGGGCAAGCGUUAUUCGGAAUUAUUGGGCGUAAAGGGCGCGUAGGCGGCUUGACAAGUCAAAGGUGAAAUCCCUCGGCUCAACUGAGGAACUGCCUUUGAAACUGUCUGGCUUGAGGCCGGGAGAGGGUAGCGGAAUUCCCAGUGUAGCGGUGAAAUGCGUAGAUACUGGGAGGAACACCGGUGGCGAAGGCGGCUACCUGGACCGGUUCUGACGCUGAUGCGCAAAAGCGUGGGUAGCAAACAGG